GCACUGCAGAGGAUUCCCAAAAUAGGACGAAACGGCCGUCCAGUGU
rnacentral:hammerhead_ribozyme from 1 species